rnacentral:rRNA from 1 species
CCCUUAGAUGUUCUGGGCCGCACGCGCGCUACACUGACGAAGUCAGCGAGCAUGUCCUACGCCGACAGGUGCGGGGAAUCUUGUCAAACUUCGUCGUGAUGGGGAUUGAUUAUUGAAAUUCUUGAUCAUCAACGAGGAAUUCCUAGUAAGCGCAAGUCAGCAGCUUGCGUUGAUUACGUCCCUGCCCUUUGUACACACCGCCCGUCGCUACUACCGAUUGAAUGGCUUAGUGAGCCUUUGGGAUUGGCAGCUUGUACCGGCAACGGUAGCAGGCCGCUGAAAACUUAGGCAAACUUGGUCAUUUAGAGGAAGUAAAAGUCGUAACA